rnacentral:rRNA from 1 species
UUCUUGACUUAGUGGCGAACGGGUGAGUAACGCGUGAGUAACCUGCCCUGGAGUGGGGGACAACAGUUGGAAACGACUGCUAAUACCGCAUAAGCCCACGGCCCGGCAUCGGGCUGCGGGAAAAGGAUUUAUUCGCUUCAGGAUGGACUCGCGUCCAAUUAGCUAGUUGGUGAGGUAACGGCCCACCAAGGCGACGAUUGGUAGCCGGACUGAGAGGUUGAACGGCCACAUUGGGACUGAGACACGGCCCAGACUCCUACGGGAGGCAGCAGUGGGGGAUAUUGCACAAUGGGGGAAACCCUGAUGCAGCGACGCCGCGUGGAGGAAGAAGGUUUUCGGAUUGUAAACUCCUGUCGUUAGGGACGAUAAUGACGGUACCUAACAAGAAAGCACCGGCUAACUACGUGCCAGCAGCCGCGGUAAAACGUAGGGUGCAAGCGUUGUCCGGAAUUACUGGGUGUAAAGGGAGCGCAGGCGGACCGGCAAGUUGGAAGUGAAAACUAUGGGCUCAACCCAUAAAUUGCUUUCAAAACUGCUGGCCUUGAGUAGUGCAGAGGUAGGUGGAAUUCCCGGUGUAGCGGUGGAAUGCGUAGAUAUCGGGAGGAACACCAGUGGCGAAGGCGACCUACUGGGCACCAACUGACGCUGAGGCUCGAAAGCAUGGGUAGCAAACAGGAUUAGAUACCCUGGUAGUCCAUGCCGUAAACGAUGAUUACUAGGUGUUGGAGGAUUGACCCCU